rnacentral:rRNA from 1 species
UACAGAGGGGGCAAGCGUUGUUCGGAAUUACUGGGCGUAAAGGGCGCGUAGGCGGCUUUGCAAGUGACGGGUGAAAGCCCUCGGCUUAACCGAGGAACUGCCUGUCAGACUGCAUGGCUUGAGACCGGGAGAGGUGAGUGGAAUUCCCAGUGUAGCGGUGAAAUGCGUAGAUAUUGGGAGGAACACCAGUGGCGAAGGCGGCUCACUGGACCGGUACGUGACGCUGAGGCGCGAAAGCGUGGGGAGCAAACAGG